rnacentral:tRNA from 1 species
UGGGGUAUAGCCAAGUUGGUAAGGCAUGGGACUUUGACUCCCAUAUUCGCUGGUUCAAGUCCAGCUACCCCAA